ensembl:lncRNA
GGGUAGAAUGAUUACCCAGCCUUUACUUGAACUCCUUCAGCGAUGGGGAGCUUACCUUUUUGUAAAGCAGCCGAUCACAACCCCUGACCAGGCUGGAGAGUUCAUCUUCAUACUGAUCCUUCUCUACAUUUUGUCCCAUCUGCUUGCUGCUGCUUCCACCCGUUGUCCCCACCAAGAUAGCCAUUCCCUGUUCCUCACAGCUCUUCAAAGAACAUCAUGGGGUUGAGCAGGAGGAAAGAGAUUCAGCCUUGUCUAGCCUCAGGCAAGGUCUGCCCUGAGAUCUCAGGCACACUAGAGAAUGACUUCACUUUUCUGACCUUCUCGAUGAACCGGCGCUGCUGUGAAGGGCAGAAGCGUGGUGGGCCUCUGGGCCCUUUGGGCCACAGAUACACAGCUGUGCUGGCUGGGAAGGCCUCAGCCCACUGUCUGAGUCCUGGUGGGGCUUUUCUGGGUCCCUAGGGCCUGGAGUGAGGGACACGACAUCCCAGAGACAACGAUGACCUUGGAAUUUGACCAUCUGGGUCCCUGUCCUAGAUUUACUGCUUCCUAGUUGGUAUCCUUUAAGCUCGUUGCUUAAACUCUGAGCUUUAGUUUCCUCCUCUGUAAAAUGAGGAAAUAUUGUUUUGUUAUGAAGAUCAAGUGACAUCACAUGUGAGAAAAAGGUUUAUCAACCAAAACAGGCUCUGCCAAUGAGUAACCAGUUCUAGCCAUUAGCAAAGGGGCUUGUGGGGCUUGGAGAUUUCUCUGGUCUGGGCCUUCCUGGGAGGGUGAAUGUCUGAAGCAGAAUUGGUUUAGACAGGACUUCAAACUCCUCCUCAAGCCCUGUGGCUGGUCCUUUGGCACCCUCAUGGCCUCCCUGUGGCAAGGCAUGAUGACGGAGCUCCAUGCCUGUGUCUUCAGGAGCAGACUCUGGCCCAAGUGCCUCAGCCCUGCUUUAGAGACCUGGAGAAAGCAGGAAAGCUGAUGCGAGUUUAUAAAAUUGCUCCCAACUACAAACUCCAGGAGAUACUGAAGGACAGAGAAGCCUGGUGUGCUGCAGUCCACGGGGUCACAAAGUGUCAGACAUGACUUAGCGACUAAACAACAACAAAAUGAGUAGAACACCAGACCUAUAUCUGGGUUCUUAUCUCCCUCGGCUUACCCCUUCCCCACCAGUUUUAAAAGGAAAGGGUUUCUGCAAUCACUAGGCAAUUGUGGGCAGGUGGCCUCACCCCAUGGCCAUCCUCCACGCCUGCGUCAGGAUGGGUCUCCUGGUCUCAGUCCUCUGCAGGCAUACAGCCUGCUGUCGUUUCCUGGGGUGAAAAUCGCUGGUAGGAGGGUGGCUUCCUGGCCUUCCUGGUUUUCAUGGUAGAAUUGUCACCUAGAUCUCCAGCAGCUCAUGGAGUCCGGAAUGAAAUCAGUCCUCCAAGUAAUAACCAAGUGGAAGUGGACUCAAAAUGCUGAGUGUUUGUGUGUCUUCGGGGGACUGUUUCUCUGUUUUCCAAAGCAGGUCUCCUGCCCGGCAGCAAAGUUCCUUUUUAUUGGAGCUUCCCAGGUAGCACUAUUGGUAAAGAACCUGCCUGCCAACACAGAAGAUGUAGGAGAUGUGGGUUCAACCCCCGGAUUGGGAAGAUGCCCUGGAGAAGGACAUGGCAACCCACUCCAAUAUUCUUGCCUGGAGAGAGGACUCUGGCUGGCUACGGUCCAUGGGAUCGCAGAGUGGGACACGACUGAAACGAUAUUGAUCUGUUGGUAUUCUGUAUAUAUUCUGGACACCAAAACUUUUUCAGAUAUAUGUUUGGUGAAUAUUUCUUUGUUAGACUGGCCUGCUGAUUUUUGUGACAAUGUCUUUUGAUUUUUAAAGAAAAUUUUGAUGAGGUCUAAUAUAUAAAUCUUCCAUUAAAAAAAUGGUUUGUGCUUUUCAUGAUCUGUUUAAUAAAACUGUCUUCUGCAAGGUCAUGAACAUUUUCUGCUCUGUUUUCUUUUGGAAGUUUUAUAGUUUUAGGUUGCCUGUUUAGGUCUAUAAUCCAUCUUAGCAUAGUUUUGGAGUAUGAUGUAACAGUCAAUAUUCAUUGUUAAAU